rnacentral:rRNA from 1 species
GACGAACGCUGGCGGCGUGCUUAACACAUGCAAGUCGAACGGAAAGGCCCUGCUUUUGUGGGGUGCUCGAGUGGCGAACGGGUGAGUAACACGUGAGUAACCUGCCCUUGACUUUGGGAUAACUUCAGGAAACUGGGGCUAAUACCGGAUAGGAGCUCCUGCUGCAUGGUGGGGGUUGGAAAGUUUCGGCGGUUGGGGAUGGACUCGCGGCUUAUCAGCUUGUUGGUGGGGUAGUGGCUUACCAAGGCUUUGACGGGUAGCCGGCCUGAGAGGGUGACCGGCACCUUGGGACCGGGGAUCCGGCCAGACUCCUACGGGAGGCAGCAGUGGGGAAUAUUGCACAAUGGGCGGAAGCCUGAUGCAGCAACGCCGCGUGCGGGAUGACGGCCUUCGGGUUGUAAACCGCUUUCGCCUGUGACGAAGCGUGAGUGACGGUAAUGGGUAAAGAAGCACCGGCUAACUACGUG